rnacentral:rRNA from 1 species
GAUGAACGCUAGCGGGAGGCCUAACACAUGCAAACCGAGCGGUAUUGUUUCUUCGGUGAUGAGAGAGCGGUGUACGGGUGCGUAACACGUGUGCAACCUGCCCUUAUCUGUGGGAUAGCCUUUCGAAAGGAAGACUAAUACUCCAUAAUAUAUUGAUCUGCAUCGGUUAAUAUUGAAAGCUCCGGCGGAUAGUGCUGGGCCCGCGCGAGAUUAGCUGGUUGGUAAGGUAACGGCUCACCAAGGCGAUGAACCUUAGGGGGCCUGCGGGGGUGAUCCCCCACACCGGUACUGCGACACGGACCAGACUCCUACGGGACGCAGCAGUGAGGAAUAUUGGUCAAUGGGUGCAAGCCUGAACCAGCCAUCCCGCGUGAAGGACGACUGCCCUAGGGGUUGUAAACUUCUUUUGUAUAGGGAUAAACCUACCCUCGUGAGAGUAGCUGAAGGUACUAUACGAAUAAGCACCGGCUAACUCCGUG